CAGUCGCCGCGGUAAAACGUAGGUGGCAAGCGUUGUCCGGAAUUAUUGGGCGUAAAGGGCUCGCAGGCGGUUUCUUAAGUCUGAUGUGAAAGCCCCCGGCUCAACCGGGGAGGGUCAUUGGAAACUGGGAAACUUGAGUGCAGAAGAGGAGAGUGGAAUUCCACGUGUAGCGGUGAAAUGCGUAGAGAUGUGGAGGAACACCAGUGGCGAAGGCGACUCUCUGGUCUGUAACUGACGCUGAGGAGCGAAAGCGUGGGGAGCGAACAGGAUUAGAUACCCGGGUAGUCCCUGUCUCUUAUAC
rnacentral:rRNA from 1 species